AAGGAUUUCAGUUGUGAUUGGUGAUGACUCUAUAAAUGAGAGUUUCAAUUUCAAAUAGUGUUUUAUAUAUGGAUUACUCUAUGUUGUUAAAUUUGAGUUUGGUAUUGAUUCAAAAUUUGUAAUGGUUCAUUUAUAUAAACCUGCCAUGUUUUCUGAAUUUUAGAUAAUUAUAAUUAAUUACAUGGCACACAAUCACGUCUUAUAGGAUCUCAGUUUCUAGCGCCUCAUUUAUAUUGGCUCUUAUUAGGAAUUUUGUAUUUAUAAUGACAUAUUUUCCCCCAUAUGUUAAUGUAGAUCACUCAUCCCUGACUUAUAAGACUUUUGGCUACUAUUGGAUAAGAGCUACUAAAUUAAAUUGAAAGAUAUUGACGUUGACAUGGGCCAUUCCUUUGGAGAAACUAGAAUUAACAUAAGUACAGAUGAUACUUUGGUAAAAGGUAGGUCCAGUUGUUGUGAUGUUCUUCAAGGAAUCCAUGAAUCAGAUAAUGAGAGUGGUUGUGAAGAAUUUCCAAGUAAAUUACUUCAAUUUACAAGAAGGAAAAAAAAAAAAAAACUUGACUUUCAUUUUGUUCACAUCAUUAAUGUUGUUCCCAUAUUUUAAAAUUCAUAUAGGAAAAUCUACUGAACCUUGGAAUUUCGGUCCACCUUAUUUAUGCAUGUAUUGUGGUUCAAUUUUAUGGUAUGAAGAGAGAAUAGUAAAAUCUAAGAGGCCUAAGAACCUAAAAUUCUUUGUGUAUUGUAUGGAGGGUAAGGUUAAGUUGCCUUUGCUUAAGAAAGUACCUCCUCUUAUUGAUGAGCUGUUAUAACAUUCAUUUUGUUUGACAAAGGAGCUAAGAAAAUUGUAUCUAAGACUACAAAAGAACUUGCAGAGAUGCAAGCAGAGGCAAUUUCAAAUAGAAAUGUCAAUUAUAUUUCUUUAUUGUUUGAGAGCUGAACUUUUAUAAACCUUUACCAACAUUGUACACAUACAUAUCAUUAUAUACCAUUAAAAAAAAAAAUUACAAAGGUAUGCUGCAUGUUUUCCGUAGCUUUUCCUCUUAAUACUUUAUCUUUGUUAAUAUUUUCCUCUUAUUGUCUCAAGCUUCAUCAUGUAAGAAUUCUAUAAUUACUAAUUACAAUUUCGAAACAAAAUUGUAUAUUUGGUUUGUGGUCUUUAGCAUUUUUUAGUUUUUCUUACGAUUUUCAUGAAUGUUGUUACCUUGGGAUGCUGUAUUGUGAAAUUUCUCCAACGUAGUCUUUCCUAACACAAUAAUUGCAUCCUAUAAGAUUUCAACCUCACAAACACUCGAUAAAAAGGACUGCCCAUUAUAAUCUUGAUAUGAUUGCUUGAUUAACAGUAGAAUACAAUUACAAAAGUGAAUGGUUAGAACUUAAAGUAAAUUAUUAAUUAGAAUGAAGACAUGAAUGUGAAUGAGAAUUUAGAAAUUUACUUGAAAUUCCGAGUUAAAGAAAUUCUUAUUUUUUAUUAAAGACAAUAAUAUAUCCAAUAUGGUUUAUAUAUUGUAUCUUAAAAUUGAGGUUCACAUGGUUUGAUUGAUUUGGUACAUUACUAUUUAUUGUUGAAGAGAAAUUUCAAUUUUGAACAUUUCUUAAAAUUAGAUAAAUUUUCAUUAGAAUACUCAAGAUAUUUGACAAUUUCUAGCUUGCAAGGUCAGUAUAGUACUAUGAAUGCAAUAAACUUAUUAAAAAAAAAAAAAAAAAAA